AUUGAACGCUGGCGGCAUGCCUUACACAUGCAAGUCGAACGGCAGCAUGGAGAGCUUGCUCUCUGAUGGCGAGUGGCGAACGGGUGAGUAAUGCAUCGGAACGUACCGUGUAAUGGGGGAUAACGUAGCGAAAGUUACGCUAAUACCGCAUACGACCUGAGGGUGAAAGCAGGGGAUCGCAAGACCUUGCGUUAUACGAGCGGCCGAUGUCAGAUUAGCUAGUUGGUGAGGUAAAGGCUCACCAAGGCGACGAUCUGUAGCGGGUCUGAGAGGAUGAUCCGCCACACUGGGACUGAGACACGGCCCAGACUCCUACGGGAGGCAGCAGUGGGGAAUGUUGGACAAUGGGGGCAACCCUGAUCCAGCAAUGCCGCGUGAGUGAAGAAGGCCUUCGGGUUGUAAAGCUCUUUCGGCCGGGAAGAAAUCGCACAGGCUAAUACUCUGUGUGGAUGACGGUACCGGCAUAAGAAGCACCGGCUAACUACGUGCCAGCCGCCGCGGUAA
rnacentral:rRNA from 1 species